rnacentral:rRNA from 1 species
GAUGAACGCUGGCGGCGUGCCUAACACAUGCAAGUCGAACGAAGCUUUUUGCGGAUCUCUUCGGAGUGAAGUAAGAAUGACUUAGUGGCGGACGGGUGAGUAAUGCGUGAGCAACCUGCCUUUCAGAGGGGGAUAACAGUUGGAAACGACUGCUAAUACCGCAUAACGUGCGAAGACCGCAUGGUCUUUGUACCAAAACUGAGGUGCUGAAAGAUGGGCUCACGUCCGAUUAGAUAGUUGGUGAGGUAACGGCUCACCAAGUCAACGAUCGGUAGCCGGACUGAGAGGUUGAACGGCCACAUUGGGACUGAGACACGGCCCAG